GCCGCCAUCGUCUAAUGGUUAGGACACCGGGUUUUCAUCCCGGCAAUCGGGGUUCGAUCCCCCGUGGCGGUACCA
rnacentral:tRNA from 1 species